rnacentral:rRNA from 1 species
UACGUGGGGGGCGAGCGUUAUCCGGAUUUACUGGGUGUAAAGGGAGCGCAGGCGGCGCGUUAAGCCUGGUGUGAAAGCCCGCGGCCCAACCGCGGGACUGCAUUGGGAACUGGCGCGCUGGAGUGCCGGAGGGGUAGGCGGAAUUCCUAGUGUAGCGGUGAAAUGCGUAGAUAUUAGGAGGAACACCAGUGGCGAAGGCGGCCUACUGGACGGUGACUGACGCUGAGGCUCGAAAGCGUGGGGAGCAAACAGG